AGAUAACAAUAAAGAUUUAUCUUGUCGCGGCUAGAAUGGAGAUUGUACGACAAAAUCGUCCGACGGAUCGAUCAUCUCACUGAGUCGACGCUCUGGAAUAUAAGAAAACAAAUUUUGCAUUUACAUCGACGAUCGUGAAAUGAAGAUCAGAGGAACAAAAAUACAAUUGCUAGUUCAUUCAGUCACGUUUCUGUGCACGAUGUGACUGAGGAGACGUUCACGAAGCAGCCGGUUGCAAGAUGCAUCGACUUUGUUUCGAUUUGCUUUAACUGGGCUUACGUGAAGAAUUAUUGCUCUUGUUUUUUAUACUAUAAAAGUGACGAUUAACAAAAUCAAGCGAUUGUUGAAGCGUUAACUAAUGAAAUGUUCUGAAGCUGAAUCUUAGUUGAGGAGAUUGAGAAAUAAGAUAUGGAAAUAAAAAGAGAUUGUUACAUAUUUGUUGAAAAGUUCAGCAGCUUAUACCUGUAGAUUGUAACUAGUAAUAAUUGAAGACUUUGAUCACUCUGGUAUGUACUUUUCUAGCCUUGCAGAAUCUAAAGUAUGUCUCGUGUAUCUCUACUGGUGUAUUUUAUUGUUAAAUAAUUAAUUAUGAAUAAUUGUUGCAUCGAUUGCCUGAACUGAUGCUCUACGAUUGUGUUAAUUUUAAAGUUUCACAUAAAGAAUUUGCAAUAUUUGUAUUUAUUUUUUAUAUCAUGGCUGAUCUAUUAAUCUAUUUUUAAUCAAGAAACGUUCAAAGUCUAAAAAUUAAUAUCUCAUUUGCUAGACUAAAUUAUUCAUAUGUAUGUAAUACUGUAUCUAACAUUAUUUUUCUGAAAUAAAAU